UACGUAGGGGGCAAGCGUUGUCCGGAUUCAUUGGGCGUAAAGCGCGUGUAGGCGGCCAGGUAGGUCCGGUGUGAAAACUCGAGGCUCAACCUCGAGAGGUCAUCGGAAACCAUCUGGCUAGAGUCCGGAAGAGGAGAGUGGAAUUCCCGGUGUAGCGGUGAAAUGCGCAGAUAUCAGGAAGAACACCCGUGGCUAAGGCGGCUCUCUAGUACGGUACUGACGCUGAGACGCGAAAGCGUGGGGAGCGAACAGG
rnacentral:rRNA from 1 species